GACGAACGCUGGCGGCGUGCUUAACACAUGCAAGUCGAACGGAAAGGCCCUGCUUUUGUGGGGUGCUCGAGUGGCGAACGGGUGAGUAACACGUGAGUAACCUGCCCUUGACUUUGGGAUAACUUCAGGAAACUGGGGCUAAUACCGGAUAGGAGCUCCUGCUGCAUGGUGGGGGUUGGAAAGUUUCGGCGGUUGGGGAUGGACUCGCGGCUUAUGAGCUUGUUGGUGGGGGAGUGGCUUACCAAGGCUUUGACGGGUAGCCGGCCUGGGAGGGUGACCGGCCACAUUGGGACUGAGAUACGGCCCAGACUCCUACGGGAGGCAGCAGUGGGGAAUAUUGCACAAUGGGCGGAAGCCUGAUGCAGCAACGCCGCGUGCGGGAUGACGGCCUUCGGGUUGUAAACCGCUUUCGCCUGUGACGAAGCGUGAGUGACGGUAAUGGGUAAAGAAGCACCGGCUAACUACGUG
rnacentral:rRNA from 1 species